GGGUGCAUAGCUCAGCGGUAGAGCGCUUCCCUUACAAGGAAGAUGUCGGGGGUUCGAUCCCCUCUGCACCCA
rnacentral:tRNA from 1 species